rnacentral:rRNA from 1 species
UGGUCGUCUGAGUACUAUAUUAUAGGUUAAACUUUCAACGACGGAUCUCUUGGUUCUGGCAUCGAUGAAGUACGCAGCGAAAUGCGAUAAGUAAUGUGCAAAUUGCAGAAUUCAGUGUAUCAUCGAAUCCUUGUAUACACAAUGCACACCAUGGUAUUAC